rnacentral:rRNA from 1 species
AGCAGCCGCGGUAAUUCCAGCUCCAAUAGCGUAUAUUAAAGUUGUUGCAGUUAAAAAGCUCGUAGUUGAAUUUCGAGACCGGUUUACUGGUCGUGCUUUUGUACGUACUGGUAUAAUCGGUUUCUCUUUUCUGACGAACUAUAAUGCCAUUAAUUUGGUGUUAUAGGGAAUCAGGACUGUUACUUUGAAAAAUUGAGUGUUUAAAGCAGGCUCACGCUUGAAUACAUUAGCAUGGAAUAACGAAAUAGGACGUUUGAUUUUAUUUGUUGGUUUCUAGGAUCGACGUAAUGAUUAAUAGGAUAGUUGGGGCAUUAGUAUUCAAUUGUCAGAGGUGAAAUUCUUGGAUUUAUUGAAGACUAACUACUGCGAAAGCAUUUGCCAAGGAUGUUUCAUUAUACAAGAACGAAAGUUAGGGAU